AAUGUAUGAGAGCAGUGGUGAUAUUAAGAUUUGUUUCAGAAAUCUCAGGAACAUUAAUGACAGAGGUUACUUAUUUCUCUAUUUUCUGUUUUUAAUAUUAGCAAUCCUAACUCAAGUAGUUGAUCAUUGCAACUUGCCAAUCAAGAUCACAGGCUAAGAGAGUAUGAAAUUGUUCCUUGCUUAAAGGUAAGAAAAGAGUAGCAGAGUCAUAUCAUGACAAUUGGAUGCAAUGUCGGCAUCCCGUUGUGAGA
rnacentral:lncRNA from 1 species